rnacentral:lncRNA from 1 species
UGUGAUAGUGACCUGUUCAGGGAAAAUAGCCCUGUUGGAAAGACUUGGCCAUUCUUAGUUCUUGGAAGCAAUAAUAGGGUCAUUUCUCAUUGCCUACAUGACAUGGUGUGCUCCAGAGAGAGAGAGGCAGGCUUUGACACCAGAGCUAUUCUCUCACCCUUUCUUUUAUAAGACUUGUCAAAAGACUAAGGCAAAGUGAAAAAUGAACCAGACAGCAACGGGGUGAAAAAUGAACUUAGGGGUUAUGAGUUGUAAUUGACUCUGAUGUGUCUGGGAGACAUUUUCAUUAUGUACAAACUGACUGGGGAAUAGUGGGUGCCUUUUCUUUUUUUAAAAAACAAUGAAUUGGAAUGGGGUUUCUUUUCUAUCUUCUGAGUAAGAAUCCAAUGGUCGGUCUUUCAUUAUUGGUCAGUAUUUUUGAAAUGCCUGAGGAUUACUGGCACUCCAAAAAAACAGGCCAGAGAAAUUCAUUUCUGAGAUAAACAGUUAAUGUCCUAUGGUGUCUUCAGCAGGGAAGAGUCUCCAGGGAUUCCACUCAUAGCAUUCUGUGUUGGGUAAAGCGAACAUCCAGUUGUAAGUCAAUCUGUACAUUUUACUGGAUGCCAGAAAAAAUGAAAUUCUUUCAAAUAGACAGCUCAUUCAAAUAUCCUUUUAUCUAUUCAUC